rnacentral:rRNA from 1 species
AGUGAACGCUGGCGGUAGGCCUAACACAUGCAAGUCGAACGGCAGCACAGUCAGAGCUUGUUCUUACGGGUGGCGAGUCGCGGACGGGUGUGGAACACAUCGGAAUCUACUUUUUUGUGGGGGAAAUCGUAGGGAAACUUACGCAAAUACCGCACACGACCUACGGGUGAAAGCAGGGGAUCUUCGGACCUUGCGCGAUUGACUGAGCCGAUGUCGGAUUAGCUAGUUGGCGGGGUAAAGGCCCACCAAGGCGACGAUCCGUAGCUGGUCUGAGAGGAUGAUCAGCCACACUGGAACUGAGACACGGUCCAGACUCCUACGGGAGGCAGCAGUGGGGAAUAUUGGGCAAUGGGCGCAAGCCUGAUCCAGCCAUACCGCGUGUGUGAAGAAGGCCUUCGGGUUGUAAAGCCCUUUUGUUGGGAAAGAAAAGCAGCAGGUUAAUACCCCGCUGUUCUGACGGUACCCAAAGAAUAAGCACCGGCUAACUUCGUG